rnacentral:rRNA from 1 species
GGCGGCAUGCCUUACACAUGCAAGUCGAACGCGAAAGCGGGGCAACCCGCAAGUAGAGUGGCGAACGGGUGAGUAAUACAUCGGAACGUGUCCAGUAGCGGGGGAUAACCUCUCGAAAGAGAGGCUAAUACCGCAUACGACCUACGGGUGAAAGAGGGGGAUCGCAAGACCUCUCACUAUUGGAGCGGCCAAUAUCAGAUUAGCUAGUUGGUGGGGUAAAAGCCCACCAAGGCGACGAUCUGUAGCUGGUCUGAGAGGACGACCAGCCACACUGGGACUGAGACACGGCCCAGACUCCUACGGGAGGCAGCAGUGGGGAAUUUUGGACAAUGGACGCAAGUCUGAUCCAGCCAUGCCGCGUGCGGGAAGAAGGCCUUCGGGUUGUAAACCGCUUUUGUCAGGGAAGAAACGACUCCUUCUAAUACAAGGGGUUAAUGACGGUACCUGAAGAAUAAGCACCGGCUAACUACGUGCCAGCAGCCGCGGUAAUACGUAGGGUGCAAGCGUUAAUCGGAAUUACUGGGCGUAAAGCGUGCGCAGGCGGUUAUGCAAGACAGAUGUGAAAUCCCCGGGCUCAACCUGGGAACUGCAUUUGUGACUGCAUAGCUAGAGUACGGUAGAGGGGGAUGGAAUUCCGCGUGUAGCAGUGAAAUGCGUAGAUAUGCGGAGGAACACCGAUGGCGAAGGCAAUCCCCUGGACCUGUACUGACGCUCAUGCACGAAAG